rnacentral:rRNA from 1 species
AGUGAACGCUGGCGGUAGGCCUAACACAUGCAAGUCGAACGGCAGCACAGUAAGAGCUUGCUCUUACGGGUGGCGAGUGGCGGACGGGUGAGGAAUACAUCGGAAUCUACUUUUUCGUGGGGGAUAACGUAGGGAAACUUACGCUAAUACCGCAUACGACCUACGGGUGAAAGCAGGGGAUCUUCGGACCUUGCGCGAUUGAAUUAGCCGAUGUCGGAUUAGCUAGUUGGCGGGGUAAAGGCCCACCAAGGCGACGAUCCGUAGCAGGUCUGAGAGGAUGAUCAGCCACACUGGAACUGAGACACGGUCCAGACUCCUACGGGUGGCAGCAGUGGGGAAUAUUGGACAAUGGGCGCAAGCCUGACCCAGCCAUACCGCGUGGGUGAAGAAGGCCUUCGGGUUGUAAAGCCCUUUUGUUGGGAAAGAAAAGCAGCAGGUUAAUACCCCGCUGUUCUGACGGUACCCAAAGAAUAAGCACCGGCUAACUUCGUG